CCUGUUAUAACAAGAAAAAUUGUUGGUCCCAACUCUUAUGUUUUCUUUGUUUUCAACUCCUGACAAUACAAGGUUCCCGUUAUAACGAGGGAAUUUGUAAAGUCCCAAGGACCUCUUAUUAAUGAGAGUGGACUGUACACAAGGUGCAAGAUGGAAUUAUGUCAUUCAUGAAGUCAUCAACUACAAAUCCACAUGUUUCCUGCCAGUUGCCAGUGUGCUAUAGCAUCACUGUGUAUGCCAGUAGUUGAACGUGGUUCAGGGAAACAUGAUGACUCUACAGCAGAUGAAAUUGCCCGCUGGAUGCCGACAUUGCCACCGUCUCUCUGAACGAAGAACUCCAGAAGAUCUACGAGUGAGGGCAAAAAUGGAACGUCAUGUUUGCCACAGAGAAAUGCAAGGUGAUGUCUCUGAGCAGAAGGUCCCCUUCUGAGCAGCCUCUAGAAUUGAUUAUGGGAGGAAAGCCCCUGCAGAGAGUUCAGGAGCUGGACAUACUUGGAGUGAGAUUCUCUAGGAGUCUAUGCUUCCAGUCUCAUGUAAACUCCAUCGCUGCUAGAGCUGGACAAUGAGUGAGUACGCUUCGUAGAAUCGCUCCAUACCUGGAUCCUCAUAGUCGUGCUCAAGUCUAUAAAGCCCUUGCCCGGAGCACAAUGGAGUAAGCCCCUGUACCGUACAUGUCUGCAAGUUCCAUGUAUUGCAAGAAGCUCAAUGAUGUGCAACAUCACGCAAUCAGUAUCAUCAAGGCCCCUCCAAAAGAAGUUAACAUCAAUCUCCUGCCGCACAGGAGAACUGUGGUAGGUCUCGGUCUGAUGUACCGACUACAUUCAGAGGGAGCUCCAGCGCUUCUUAAGACCAUGCUACCGCCUUAAGACCAUGCUACUAUUGCGAGGCCUAAUUGUCAUAUAGUUUGACCUAACAACCUAUGUGUAUGCGUGGACCUCCAAGAAGUGUGAAAUGUACAUAGAGACUCUUCUACGAAACUAUGUCCAAAGCAACACUGAUAAAAAUCCUAUCACUAAAUACAGUGCUUGGGAAACAAAGUGAGUCCUUCACUACGGUGCAGAAAACAACUAAAAGUAUCAGUGUUGUACAGGAACAUAAUCAUGUUCAAUUUGUAUUUAUAUUCUUAUCUUGCAAAAACGAGCUGUUCGAAUAAUUUCCAAUGCUGGUUAUCGAGAUCAUACCACACCAUUAUUUGCCAAUCUUAAAUUAUUGCAAUUUAAUGAUCUUUAUUAUCUCAAUCUCGGUAAAUUCAUGUACAAAUAUAUGAAUAAUUUGCUCCCUUUGUGUUUUAGCUCAUGUUUUACUUUAACUUCAAAUGUCCAUUGUUAUAAAACCAGGAGUAUCGCAAAGAAAAAUCUUCAUGUUGGCUUCAAUAGAACGACAGUGUUCAAAAAUGGAAUAGUUCAACGUGGCACGAGUAUCUGGAAUAGUCUAAGUAUCCCUCUUAAAACGUCUUUAACUCUAUCUACAUUUACCAAAAAAUUAAAAACACAACUUCUUACAUUUUAUUCGUAUUCUGUUGAUACUUUGUAAACAUACAACAAUAGCUUAAUGAUACUCCUGUUUGUCUGUUUGUCUGUCAUUGUCCUUAGUUCGUACUUAAUUGUCCGUCAGUCUGUAAGUGUCCAACGGGUCAGGGAACAAAAGCGAUCGCUUCACCCUAUCCCCGUGUUGUUAUGUGGAUUAUGCAUAUAUUUUUAUUAUGUUAAUAACGGUGUUGUGUAAAAUUAUUUCGUAGUAUAUUUUGUAUGCUUAAAUUUUAACAACGAUUUAAUAUUUCUAGUGACAUAACUUUCAAAUAAAUGUUCAGCAAUUAAAUGAUGAUACAAGUACAUGUUACGUGUAAAAUACAACUGACAGUGUACACUGUUCAUCUUUAUGUUUGUAUGAAAACAUUCAGUUUUAGUUUGAUGAAGCUGUAAUUAUGUACUGUACUAAUUUCUUGUGGCAUGCCCCAGAUAGGUGUGGAGACACG